rnacentral:rRNA from 1 species
CCCGUGAGGACGCCCUUUACCCCUACCCCAGGCUUAGGAGCUGGUAUCAGGCGCAACUUUUACGCCCAUAACACCUAGUCCCACCACACCCCCAAGGGUACUCAGCAGUGAUAAACAUUGUCUAUAAGCGCCAGCUUGACCCAGUUAUAAAGAAGAGGGCCGGCCAACUUGGUGCCAGCCGCCGCGGCUAGACCAACUGGACUCAAAUUGAUAAUUCCCGGCGUUAAGCGUGAUUAAAGCCACAUACCAAUUAGAGUUAAACCUAUGUUGAGCAGUGAAAAGCACACGAUAGGGAAACCCAGAAACGAAAGUUACUCUAAUCUCUGCUUGAAUACACGACAGCUAGAAAACAAACUGGGAUU